UGGAAGUAAAAGUCGUAACAAGGUCUCCGUAGGUGAACCUGCGGAGGGAUCAUUACACAAAUAUGAAGGCGGGCUGGAACCUCUCGGGGUUACAGCCUUGCUGAAUUAUUCACCCUUGUCUUUUGCGUACUUCUUGUUUCCUUGGUGGGUUCGCCCACCACUAGGACAAACAUAAACCUUUUGUAAUUGCAAUCAGCGUCAGUAACAAAUUAAUAAUUACAACUUUCAACAACGGAUCUCUUGGUUCUGGCAUCGAUGAAGAACGCAGCGAAAUGCGAUAAGUAGUGUGAAUUGCAGAAUUCAGUGAAUCAUCGAAUCUUUGAACGCACAUUGCGCCCUUUGGUAUUCCAAAGGGCAUGCCUGUUCGAGCGUCAUUUGUACCCUCAAGCUUUGCUUGGUGUUGGGCGUCUUGUCUCUAGCUUUGCUGGAGACUCGCCUUAAAGUAAUUGGCAGCCGGCCUACUGGUUUCGGAGCGCAGCACAAGUCGCACUCUCUAUCAGCAAAGGUCUAGCAUCCAUUAAGCCUUUUUUUCAACUUUUGACCUCGGAUCAGGUAGGGAUACCCGCUGAACUUAAGCAUAUCAAUAAGCGGAGG
rnacentral:rRNA from 1 species